CUUUGUAUUCUUGUAUUCUUAGAAAGUAGUAUGGCUGGAGGCUAGUGAGAGUGAGAGUGAUAGGGUGUUGGAGACAGAGGUACAGGCCAGGUCAGGUAGGGCUUUUUAGACUUAUGAAGAAAUUUACAUUUUAUUCUAAAUGCAAAAGGAAGCCACCAGAAUGAUUCACGCAGGGAACAGUGACACAAUCUGAUUUAUAUUUUAAAGAGGCUCUGGUUGCUGAGCAGUUACUAUUUUUAGGGAAGCUAAAGUGGAAGCAAGGAGAGUCAGGAAGCUGUUACAGUAAUCCUAGGAAAAUACCAUAGUGAAGACAGGGAGAGCUGGAAGUGUAGCAGUUUGAAUUUCUCUCUUCAUGGCUCCUUAACUAUACAUGAACUUUGAACUUCAUUUCCUUCAUCAGCUAAGUAUAGAUAAAAUUCCUAUUCUCUUUGUUAGGAUAAAAUAAGCCUAUAAGGCAAAUGUCCAACAAAUGGUUAGAUGUCGGUUAUGUUAGUUCUUUCUUUUUCUUCUUUGUCUAAAGCUCAUACAUUUUUUUUCUUCCUUCUCCCCUUUCUUUCUUUUUCUCCUUUCCAUGGAUAUUUGUCUCCUUCCAUAGAUAUUUAAUGGUGAACUGGUUUGUGCAAAACACAAUACUUGGUAGUGGAAGAUAUAGAGAGAUCUUGUUUUUAAACAUUUAUUGACUUAUAUAGUUGGGUGCUCAAAAAAGCAGAACCUUUAGUUUUCCCUUUAGUUUUUCUUUUCUUUACUUUUUUAGUAAGGCAAACUGCCAUUUUAAAGUCCUAGCUAGUUAUAUAAAUAAUAAUGAAGAAAAAAUCAUUUUGGAGAAGAUCUUAGUUUUGGGCAGAAUCAACUAAGGGUGAUAUACAAAAAACUCCUUACAUUAAAACAAAAAUUAAUUUAACAUUGGUUCUGAGAAUAUACUGGAAGUUUUAUCCUGGGAAACAUAUGUACAAUUUUUUUUUUUUUUUCGUGACAAAUAUGCCCCAACCCACAACCCUUGUAUAUAUGCAGCACAAGAUUACUGGGGACGAUGAGGUUAUUAAAAUAGCCACUGUAAUUAAAGUGGUCUUGAUAUGGUUUGGGUGUGUCCCCACCCAAAAUUUCAUCUUGAAUUGUAAUCCCCAUAAUCACCAUAAUCCCCAAAUGUCAAGGAAGAGACAAGGGGGAGGCAACUGAAUCAUGGAGGCGGCUUCCUCCAAGCUGUUCUCAUGAUAGUGAGUCAGUUUUCACGAGAUGUGAUGGUUUUAUAAGUGUUUGAUAGUUCCACCUGUGUUCAUUCUCCUUCCUGACACCCUGUGAAGAAGGUGCCUUGCUUCCCCUUUGCCUUCCACCACAAUGCUAAGUUUCUUGAGGCCUCCCGAGACAUGCUGAACUGUGAGUCAGUCAACUAAGCCUCUUUCCUUUAUAAAUUACCCAGUUUCAGGCAAUUCUUUAUAGCAAUGUGAAAAUGGACUAAUAUACAACUGAAGUCAUUUGGUAAAAUAAGCUUCAAGAUUCCUCUUUUCAUCUCUCACUGAAGAAAUAUACCCCUUUUCAUAAGAAAAUCUACAAAGAGUAUUUAUAAGAAAUUGGUGCAUGGCUGUGCUUCAACUCCUCAGUGCAUGAUAUGAAAGAAAAUCAGAUGAGGUUGCAAGAAAUAAAUUUUGUGUUAGACAUCAGAGACCAUUUCUUGACAGGAAAAGUUGUUUGUGAUGUGUGCAGCAUGGUUUCUCAAGAUCUGGCUGUAUAAACAAUGGACAGGGCUGAGAACCAGGAAGUGCAGUGUCUCUGGGAUCUAUGCUUGAUGCCUCUAACUCUGCUUAGCACUGAGUAUGUAGGAUAGUCCCCAUGUAUUGACAACUCAUAUUAAACUGUAUAUGGAAGCACAAACAUUGAAGAAUAGCCAAACAUUCUUGAAGAAAAGAAACAAAUGGAGAGAACUUGUCCUUCAAAUAUCAUUUACUAUAAUAAAGCUGUAGUAAUUAAGAAGGCAUGGUUUUGGCACAGGGAUAAGCACUCAAACCAAUGAGAGAAAAUGGAAUUCUAAAAUAUGAAAAUUAUUCAAACGGGGCUGGCAUUCCUGAUUGAUGGAAAGCACAGACUAGUCAAUUAAUGCAAUAGUUGGUCAUUCAUAUGAGGAAAAAAUGAAAUUAGGUUAGCUUAUACCAUACAAAAUUCAAUCACAAAUGGAUUAAAAACCUAUAAACAAACAAAAAACUCUAUUAAAUAUUUAGAAGACACUAUGUGAGAAUAUUUUUAAAACUUGAGAUAAAUGAUUCCUUAAGGUACAAAACAGCAAAAAAUGACAACCUUUAUUAUAUAAAAAUUAAUUUGUGUUUUCCAGAAUCACAAAAAAGAAAAAAAGCAAGGUAAAAAUAGAGAAAAGAUAUUAGCAACAAAAAUUAGAUAAAAUACUAGUAUUUGGAGUAUCAAAUGGAUUCUGAGAAUCAAAGAGAAAAAAAUCAGUUUAAUAUAAUGAUAGAUAAGAGGAAUAAAUAGGAAUUUCAUAUGAGAGGAAGCACAAAUCUCAUAUAAACAUGUGAACAAGCCUUUAACAUCAUUAGUAGCCAGGGAAAAACAAGACCACACCCCAAAAAUUAAGAACAUAGACCAUUUCAUUCUCAUAAGAUGGUCAAUAGUCAAAAUUGUGCCAAAUAUAGAGCAAGGGAAGCUCCAGUCUCCUACUGGUGGGAGAGUAAAUUGAUACAAUCAUUUUGGAAAACAGUUUGACAUUACCUGCUACAGCUGAAAACAAACAUGUUCUAUAAACCAGGAAUUCUACCGUUAGAUAUUUAAUCCAUAAAAACUCAAAAGACAAAUGCACAAAGUUUACAGUUUUGUUUGUUUAAACAAAAAGAAAAAAAGGAAAACUGAAGCAAGUCAAAUGUUCUUCAGAAGUAGAAAGAACAUUUAAAUUGAAACAAAAUUUCACAAUGAACUGUGAUAGGGCAUUGAGUGAAUUACUACAGAGGAGGGGUGGGUAAACCAAAACCUACAGAGCAGUCAAAUGUUUUUAUAAAUAAAGUUUUAUUGGAGCACAAUCACAUCAAUUUGUUUAUGUAUUGUGUAUGGCUGCUUUCGUACUAUAAUAGAGUUGAGUAGGUGCAACAGAGACCGCAUGGCCUGCGAAGACUAAAAUAAUUACUAACUAGUCCUUUACAGAAAAAGUUUGCUGACUCAUAUUAAAGAUAAUUAAAAGGACUAAUAACAUUUUUUCAAAUCAACAUGAAUGAAUCUCAGAGUUAUUAUGAUUAUAUUGAAUAAUG
rnacentral:lncRNA from 10 species